CCCUUAGAUGUUCGGGGCCGCACGCGCGCUACACUGAAUGGAUCAACGUGCCUUUCCCGAGGCUGAAAAGUCGAGGUAAUCCGUUGAACCCCAUUCGUGACGGGGAUAGGAGCUUGCAAUUAUUCUCCUUGAACGAGGAAUUCCCAGUAAGCGCGAGUCAUCAGCUCGCGUUGAUUACGUCCCUGCCCUUUGUACACACCGCCCGUCGCUACUACCGAUCGGAUUGUCCUGUGAAUUUCUAGGAGAGUUGAGGUCCUGGCACUUCGGUGUCGGCGACCUCAUGCUUGAAUUGAAUUGAACUGGAUUCUCUAGAGGAAGUAAAAGUCGUAACA
rnacentral:rRNA from 1 species